CGCAAGACACGUGAUGUGUGCCGUGAUGCGCUAAUUGUCAUGUGACAUUCUGUAUUACCUCACAGGCUGGUCAUGACGCAGUGAAACGUAUCGUAUGAGGUAGGACCAAGGACACUUACUGAAAUACUGCAUGCCUAAACUGUGUACAGAUUUGGACCGAUGCCUUUUGGGUCGGUUUGUUGACCUUUUCAUAAAAUUACAGGAAUUCAAAAUUAAAGAUAUUACUACCAGUGCCUCCAGCUGUUGCUGGGAGUUAAUUCUAAUGUACUUGCCUAGUUCCUGCUGUCCUGAGGAUCCAUGUGGGUUACCUGGGUCUAUUCAGGAUGCCCUAAUUGGCUUCAGCAGUGUCCCUUAUUAGCCAAUAUAAGUGACCUUGGUAUUGCAGGAGGAGGUGUUUGCCCGAGGUGAUGGUUCCUCCAGUGGGCAAGCUACAGCAUACAGAGGGUUUCUAUGGCAGAGAAUCCUUACAGAGAUACGCAUUGAUGGAGCCAUUCCACAUCUCGGAAAAGGAAAUCUAAAUCCAAACACAGACAAUGUAUAUCUUGUGAUCAACUUCUUCCUGAUGACCAGAAGGGUGACCAGUGUGAUGUCUGUACUUUCCAUCUGAAGGGUUGUUUAAGUCGACGCAAAGUCAGUUUGUGUGUCAGCUGUCUGUAGUAGUUAUGCCAUUUAAAAAAAAGUAUCAUAGAGAAAGUAUCAAGAAGGCAACAAAAGAAAGCCUAGUGACAAAAACAGAGUUCUGACCAUAGCCAAGAAGUUUUUACUAAACAAAGCGAGUUCAGUGGUGCAUUCUCUUCUAGAUGAAUUUCUGAAGAACGCCUUAGAAACAGUUUCAGCUCAUCAGUGGGGCCAAGGACUCUAUUCUCAAAUUUUCCCAGUACCAAAGCCCAGGGAAAGAUGGAGGGUCAUUAUAAACUUGAGGUACCUAUAUCUGUUUAAAGAAAGAAAAGUUUUGCAUGGGGAACAUGAAGUCAGUCACAAGGAUUGUUCAAAAGGAUGAUUGGAUGGUUUCCAUCAAUCUCAUGGACACUUAUUUGCAUGUUCUCAUUCAUCAUCUCAAAAAGCGUUUUGAGAAUUGCUGUAGUCUGUCAAAGAGAAGUACAACAUUUUCAGUUCAGGGCAGUGCCCUUUGGUUUUUCCACAGCACCCAGAAUCUUCACCAGGGUAGCAAUUACCUUGGUGGCGUCUCUAAGACUGCAAGGGAUACAAGUAGUCCUGUACUUGGACGAUUGGUUACUAUUGUCUUCUUCCACAACAGAUUCAGACUACUUUACAGCUCUGUUCAGUGGGGUUCAUUGUGAAUCACUCAAAGUCAGAUCUUACCCUAACAAGAAAGAAGCUGUUUCUGGUAUUCAUAAUAGACUUUGUCAUACAAAGAGUUUUUCUUCCUCUAGAGAAACAGAUGAAGUUAAGGAUGGAAGAAAAACGAGUUCUGGGCCUCUUAACCCCGGGCAAAAGCCCAUAUAAAAAUAACUUCAGUUAGAAAUUCUCUCUAGAUGGGAUCGAAGGGUGGGUUCCAUAUCAGCUCUGCUACACUUAACAAGCAAAACUCGUCUUGCGCUUUACUAAUGGCUGAACGAGGUCAAUCUAUCAAGGGGGAACAGUUUCAAGACAGAGACUAUCACUAAUAACUACAGAUGCCACCAAGCAAGGUUGGGGGCCCAUUUAAAUACCCAGUGGGUUGAGAAGCUGUGGUCACAGAGAGAGCGUCAAUUAUCUUCAAACCUCAGGGAAUUGAGGGCCAUCAGACUUGCACUAAUUCAUUUUACGCCUCUUCUCAACAACAGGUCACUGUUGAUUCGUUCAGACAACUCCGUGUCCAUUUACUAUCUCCAAAAACAGAAAGGAACAAGAUCACCAUCCUUACAGAAAGAAUGCAAAAUGCUAAUGUCCUUUGCAGACAUCAUCUAACCUCCCUGUCAGCUGUACAUUUAAAAGGCAGCUUGAACCUACAAGCGACAGCCCCAAAUCCCCAACAAGUGGGAGUUGAAUCCUAAGGUUUUUACCCAGAUAAUCAGCAGAUGGGGAUGUUCAGAAUGGGACAUGAUGCCCAUGGCAGACAACAGAAAGUUGCAGAAAUUCUGC